CCUACGGGAGGCAGCAGUGGGGAAUUUUGGACAAUGGGCGAAAGCCUGAUCCAGCAAUGCCGCGUGUGGGAAGAAGGCCUUCGGGUUGUAAACCACUUUUGUACGGAACGAAACGGUUCGCUUUAAUACAGUGGGCUAAUGACGGUACCGUAAGAAUAAGCACCGGCUAACUACGUGCCAGCAGCCGCGGUAAUACGUAGGGUGCGAGCGUUAAUCGGAAUUACUGGGCGUAAAGCGUGCGCAGGCGGUUAUAUAAGACAGUUGUGAAAUCCCCGGGGCUCAACCUGGGAAUUGCAUCUGUGACUGUAUAGCUAGAGUACGGUAGGGGGGGUAUGGAAUUCCGCGUGUAGCAGUGAAAUGCGUAGAUAUGCGGAGGAACACCGAUGGCGAAGGCAAUCCCCUGGACCUGUACUGACGCUCAUGCACGAAAGCGUGGGGAGCAAACAGGAUUAGAUACCCUGGUAGUCCACGCCCUAAACGAUGUCAACUGGUUGUUGGGUUGCAUUAGUACUCAGUAACGAAGCUAACGCGUGAAGUUGACCGCCUGGGGAGUACGGCCGCAAGGUUGAAACUUAAAUGAAUUGACGG
rnacentral:rRNA from 1 species